GGGGAUGUAACUCAACGGUAGAGUAUAUGCUUUGCAAGCAUGAGGUUACCGGUUCAAAUCCGGUCAUCUCCA
rnacentral:tRNA from 1 species